UUUUGACUGUGCAAAGGUAGCAUAAUAAUUAGUUUUAUAAUUGAAAACUGGAAUGAAUGGUUGGACAAGGAAAAUUCUGUCUCUAUUUUAUUUAUAUUAGAAAUUUAUUUUUAAGUUAAAAAGCUUAGAUUUAUUUAAAAGACGAGAAGACCCUAUAGAGUUUUAUAUAAUUUAUAUAAUAAAAUAAAAGGUAUUAAGUUUUUAUUAUAUAAAUUAUAUUUAGUUGGGGUGACUUAAAAAUAUGAUUAACUUUUUAUUUAUUAAGACAUUUAUUUAUGAGUAUUUGAUCCAUUAAUUAUGAUAAAAGAU
rnacentral:rRNA from 1 species